AUUGUCCUGUAAUUACGUUUGUAGAAAAAAUAUUGUGUGAUAUGCGUGUUAAAAAGUACAUGUUUAAGGCACUCAUGUGAAUUUGCAGAACUCGCUUCGCUCAUUCUGCAAACUGUGUACUCACAUGCGUGCUUUAAACGUGUACUUUUAACACUUAUAUCAUAAAUAACUAUUUAUUCAAAAGUUUAUUGCGAUCAUCAGUUGUAAUACGAUUAAAACCGGAAAAAAAUCUUUCUCAUUUUACGUUAAUAGAAACGGGUAAACACAUUAUUUUUGCAAAGUUACAUUUUACAUACAUAUUUUAGUUUUCCGUGGUUAGCUUAAUUUUAAUAGCCUCACCGAACCGAAUGUCAAAACUCUUCGUUAUAUAAAUAUUAUCCGAAACACUACUGCACUGCUGCUUGAAACAAGAAAGUUUGGUAUCAGACUCCAGUUUCAUUUCUCUAAUCUCUGUAUUCAUACCUACGUCCUGAAUCUUAUUUUCAGUAAUGACAUUAGGAAAUUGUAACAAGAUGUGAAAAAUGUAAAUACUAUUAAAGAGUUAAUUUCAUUUUAGUCAUAAUGCAUAUAGCACAGAAAAUGUUGAUAUACAGUGAUGAGCGCGCUAAUAACCGGCAAAAUAGCUCAAAAGAUGGAAAACAUAAUACAUUGCGAAACAAAAAGAGAUGAAACUAGUGGAGGUGGAAAUUAUCGUUAAGGCCGCGUCCCACGAUCAAAUAAUUUGAUCAAACUGGUUUGAGCAAACUGAAAGUGACAGUUAGUGACGUCACAUCCUGAGUGUUCAUUGUGGAUAAUAAUGAAAAAUUUUAAUUUUAAAUAAAGUACAAACAAGUUAGACAACUCAAUACAAAAAAUUUGAUCAAACUAGACUGAUAGUGAGAGCACAGAUUUUUAGAAUUUCAAAAAAACUGCAAUUGUGACGUCACUUUGACGUACUUCUUCAAGUACGUCAGGUUUGCUCAAACUGUUUGAUCAAAUUAUUUGAUGGUGAGACGCGGCCUUUAUAAACGUCUAAAAUACCAUUACAUUACAUAGUUUCUCACCUUUAGACGUAUCAGAGGUAUGACAACUGUCACUGUGAGAGUAGAAUUUUAUAAAAUACUCCUGUCACAGACGUCUACAGGUGGAAAACUAUGUAAUGUAAUGUUAAUUAAUACGUUUAUAACGAUAAUUUCCACCUCCACUAGUUUCAUCUCUUUUUGUUUCGCAAUGUAUUAUGUUUUCCAUCUUUUGAGCUUUUUUGCCGGUUAUUAGCGUGCUCAUCACUGUAUACCAAAAACCUACUAAAAAAUAUUGCUUACUAGAAUUAAAAAAAAAAUAUAUCAAAAAUCUAUCCAAAAAGUAGAAAUCUGCUGAAUGUGGCAACGCUGUUACAAAAUAAACACCACUGUCCAACUCAAAAUUCAAUUGUCAAAUAUUCUUCUUCUUUUCAAUUAGCCUUGUACCACAUAUAUUAGCGAUCUACAUUAUGUGUCGCCAUCUCUAAUUCCGGAAGCUCACUAUAUAUAUGGAACCAAUUUUUUCCAUUGAGUUCGCAGCCCAUGAAUAUGGCUACUGGGUGUAAAAGAUAAAUCUUAUUCUAUCUGUUCUUAAUGAGUUUUAGAUAAUUUUAGUUGUAUUUCUUUGUAAUUUUGUGUUGUACAAAGAUUAAUUUAACAUUUUCUCUGGAAGUAUUAAUUUAGGAAGAUAAUAUGCUUCAUUGGUGUUGUGUUUUGAAGUGUGAAAUGCAAAGUAAUUGUGAUAAGUCAAGAUAAAGUUCACUUUUAAACUGAACUAAAUAAGGUAUCUGAGAGACAACAAUGGUUAAAUGCAAUACAAUGUACAGGUUUUACUAGCGAAAUGAAAAUUUUCCUGUCCUGUCUGCUGUAAUCAUUUUAUAUCUGGAAAACCAGCCGACUUAAUCGAUAAUAACAAUCUCCAGAUUGGGUUCUUUCAAUAAAUAUGGGCUAUAAACACAAUGAAAUAAGUUCCCCAAAAUCUAAAAUGGAGUGGUAUCAAAGGAGAAUUAAAGGAAAAAAUAUUCAUAUUGAAAUUAUUUAUAAGGCACUGGACUGUCUUAAAUUCUACAAUAAUACUAGAAUCAGCUGAGAGAAGUGGUCUACAAAAAACCAGGAAGGAAACGGAAUAUGUGGCUACGAAAGGCAAAAGAAAGGUUUACAAAGCAAAUGUGACACAUUUUUUUGAAAUAUUUAGGAAUAUCAGUAAAUUGCAUUAAAAGAAUGUAUGAAAAGAUUUUGUUCAAUAAAAAUGUUUAUAUUUA